AUUGAACGCUGGCGGCAUGCCUUACACAUGCAAGUCGAACGGUAACAGGUCUUCGGAUGCUGACGAGUGGCGCACGGGUGAGUAAUACAUCGGAACGUGCCCGAUCGUGGGGGAUAACGAGGCGAAAGCUUUGCUAAUACCGCAUACGAUCUACGGAUGAAAGCGGGGGAUCUUCGGACCUCGCGCGGACGGAGCGGCCGAUGGCAGAUUAGGUAGUUGGUGGGAUAAAAGCUUACCAAGCCGACGAUCUGUAGCUGGUCUGAGCGGAUGAUCAGCCACACUGGGACUGAGACACGGCCCAGACUCCUACGGGAGGCAGCAGUGGGGAAUUUUGGACAAUGGGCGAAAGCCUGAUCCAGCCAUGCCGCGUGCAGGAUGAAGGCCUUCGGGUUGUAAACUGCUUUUGUACGGAACGAAAAGCCUCUUUCUAAUAAAGAGGGGUCAUGACGGUACCGUAAGAAUAAGCACCGGCUAACUACGUG
rnacentral:rRNA from 1 species